CUGUAAGUCUGGAACUGCCUUUGUGAAGUAGUUAAUGAAUAACCCUUUACCAUUUCUUCACAGAAUCUGGUUUUAAUUUUUUCAAAUUCUGCCACUCUACAAAAAUAAGUAAGAUUAAGAAAAUGCCAAAGGUGAUCAGAGCCACAGAUGAUACAGACAGAAUGUGGCAUUUUGAAAUUUGUGAAAGUGACCAGGUCUACAAAGAUUUUAUCACAACUGUGAAAAUAGCAUUUCUCCAUUCUACUUAAUUUUCCACAAAAAGGUAGGAUCAAUUUGUUAUCCAUAAAAUAGAGAAAUAAAUACAUUUUCUCCUAAG
rnacentral:lncRNA from 1 species